ensembl:lncRNA
GUCAGGUUUCCAUAGGAAACCAUGCUGUUGGAAGCUGAUUCUUCCAGAGGUCUAACACUAGCCUCUGUAAGUCAGGAAGGCAGCUUAGCAGGCCCACUGGGAAGUAGCAGAUGGAUAGGAAAAUGACAUGCUUUCCAAAAGUAUUUAAAUAUCAACUCUCUUUUGUUACAGCUGUGUAAGAGCCAUAUAAAAUCAAGUAACAUGUAGGAGAGAAAAGGGGUCAUGAAGGAGGAGUUUGAGCAAAAAGUAAUGCUAAAAAAGAAAAAAAAAUCCAUUGCAAAUGGUAAUGUAAAUAAGGUAAAACUUGAAAACUAUGAAGCAAUACUGCAGAUAGUCAUGUCUGAAGGAAUACCUAGAGGGUUCUUUUUGGUGGUGAUCUUCACUCCUGGAUCUGAAUUUUUCUGGACUGUCUCCCUUACCACUUCUGCAGGACACAAUUGCAACAGAAUUUUCCUUGAAUCAACGGAGGACUAUUACUUGAUGAGAUCAUUGUUUUCAGAUUUCCCCAGGAAGGAAAUACUGUCAACACAGUCAGUGUCUGAGUUUAUCCUCUCAGUGGAAAAGGUGGGUGAAAAACACUUAUUACUUCCUAUGUGCAUAAUUUAAACCUGUGAAACAUACUGCAGAAAUGUAAGGAGCCAUGAAUUUAGACACCGUUUUCAGCUAAAAUAAAGGUUAAAGUUUGUCUGUAGUGUAAGCCUGAGGUUGCAAAUACCCUCAGAAAAUGUUGAGUUUUGUGUGCAAAAGAGUAUGGUAGUGCAAGUCAGGCUGAAGGAGACAAAGUACAAAUUCAGAUAUUUCUAUCAGUAUUUACCUAAAAAUUAAAAAAUGAAACAAUAUUUUCCAAAGUACAGGCACACAGGCAGCAGGCUUGAAAAUUGCAGCAAUUCUCGGUUCUUUGCUUGUUCCAUUAUAUUUAUCAUAUGCUUAGUGCUUUAUGGGACUGGCAGCACAAAAUUUCUGAUUAGAAGUUUGUUCACUGUAGUUCAUCACAAAGUGCCUGUGUUCUUUAUGCUUGGUUGAACCACAAAGAUUCUUGCAGCAACAUUGUGAACAACUGGAUCCCAUAAUAUUUCAUGCAACAAAACUAUUGAACAGAAGGCAUGAUUUAGGUGCUAAAGUAUUUUAUGGCACAUAUUCUUAUGUGAUAUGGCUUAGAUAAGUUCAGAACUCUAUUCAGAACAUCCAGUCUUAGAAUAAGGGUUGAUAAGUUAUUUUGACAAAAAUCUGUUUACCUUCCAAAAAUGCAUACAUGCAGGACAAUCAGUGCAAACAAUGGACAGAGAAGAUAGUGAGUAAGAGAUUAAUUCAGAGAUCCUCAGUCAAAGAAAUAGUUCCACAUACUUUUUUAUUUUGUUUUGAGGAUAGGUAUGAUCCUACAAAGAAAUUUGCCACAAUCUUUUGAUAUUUAUGCAAAGGAGAACAGUUGACAGUAGAUAACAAUUUGAAUGCAGGCCUAAAUCAGGGGACAAUAAAACAUCACAGUAUAAGGAAGGCAUAGGUAUGCCAGCGUUAGCAAUGUCUAAAACCUACUCCGAAUUUGUGGUCACAGCACAAGGGAUAAAAUAGCAAUGUAGAAUUAGUAUGAUUUAAGAAAAUCGUAUAUGUGUCUUGACCUGCAGCUGACACCAGUUUAAAUUAUGCUGAAGAAUCAACUCUGACUCCUCAAUGCUACCAAAAUACUUUCUCCUGCAAACAAUGGAAUUAUCUCCUCCCACACAUACCAAGAUUCACUGGAAGUUCAAUGUAACUCAGCACAUGAAAGUAUUUGGGCAACAUUCAUUUCAUAUUUGUAAGUUGAAGUAAUAACAAGGAAAGGAGCUCUCUUGGGGACGGAUACGAAAUGUUCUGUGCUACCAAGAAAUGGAAAGAGGAAACUUGUAGAUGAUAAAGAUAAAAGUGCAAGAUGUACUGAAUGUCCUAAAGGGAAAGUAUACCCUGCAAAGCCCUCUGCUCGGCCAAUGUCUGUUGUCUGUUCUUUCUCUGGAGCUUUACUCACUAGAGAGCAUUACUCACUUAUAAAGUGAUUUAAGUGCAGGCCUCUUUGUCUUGUGGGUUUAUACAUUGGCUUUAGUCCUGUGUGCUUCUUAAUUUAAAUGCUAACUGAGAUCACAAAUGUCAUUGGGAGGUUUGUUCCCAAACAACCCUCUUGCCACUCAAGCCGCUUUGUAGCCUGAACUUUCCAGACAGGAGGUGUCUCUGGCCUUAUGAACACAAGAAUGUAAACCUGGAGAGAAGCCCCUCCAAGGUAAGAUAGUGCUUGUAAUUGUUUUGCUCUUCUACUUUUCUUGUCAUCAAGGCAUCAUGUCUUUCUAAAACAUAUGCUACAACCACAGAGGAAACAUCAUCAUCUUAGUGAAACAUCUGUGGGAAAAAAGCUUACGUGAGAUGUUGUACAUAGGGAUAGACUAGAUCUUACCAUGUUUACUUUCUGACUUCAGAACAAGUGGACAUUCAACAAUGACUGUUUAAGUCAGACAGAGGUACAUGCCCGCUUCACCCUGAGCCCUUCUGCGAAUGGUCAGAAACAGAAUACUGUGUGAUCUCAAAAAGAUUCAGAGCAAACAUGGAAGACAGUUAUGUUUAAAUGACACUCUGGUUGGGCAGGCACUGAACGCAGUAACAGUUUCAACAUAGACACCUUAAACCUUCCAGUAUUCUAUUUUAGGUUUGUUCUUCAUUCUUGCAUCACAGCAGGAGUUGUACCCUUUAUCAGUGUUGAUGUCUUCUUAAAAGAGGGUCUGUGACCGCAUUUGAAGUAUCUCUACUACCAGUUGUGGUGAUUUCACCCUGAUGUGCAGCUAAACUACUACAUCAUUCUCCUGUUACUCCUACUCAAAGGAAGAGGGGGAGAAAAUGAAAUGAAAAAAGGCUCAGGGUUUGAGAUUACCGUCACUGAUCAGUGAUUAUGAGAAUAAAUAAACAUAGUGUGGAAAAAUCUUUGUAUAGUCAUUAAAAUACCCAAGUGUGGCAUUCUAGUAGAGAUUUAAUAAGGAGAAGAAACUGACCCUCAGACUUAGGAAUUCAUUUUCUUUACUUUUCUACAAGGACAGACAUACAUCUCUCUAUCUAAUUUAUAUAUACAUACGUAUAUAUAAAGCAAAGCUUUUAAAGAAUUUUUAUUUAUCAUUGUAAAAUCUCUACUUAGAAUUGGAAAGAGAUAGAAAAAAAAAAAGUAGACUUUGAUUAUCACCUUGAUACAUCUAAGUGUUUACAGUGGGAGCUAAGCUGUAGCAUAGCAAUGUAAUAAAAAUAGAAAGUAAAGUGACGUAAAAAGUGCACUGAGGACUACCUUAUAACUAAUUCCAAACGUUCAAGAAUAGUAAAUGGUUAACAGUGAUGCAAAAGGAAAUUACAGAAAAAACAAUCAAAAAGGACUCCUAAACAAUGAAAGGAAACAAAAAAUUAAUAAAGCAGAAGACUGAAAAACAGAUAAGGAGAGCAAAACGGUGAAAGAUUUCACAGAAGAUUAUGAAAUUAGCACAAAAAAUUUUUAAACAAUCCUAAGAAUAAACUGUCAUUGAAGAACAGAAUAGGGAUUGUGGAGGAUCAUUUUUUAAGGGAUGAGGUAAAAAAAGAUGGAAAAUUUAAACAAAUUCUUCGCAUAGCUGUUCAGAAAGAAAUGUCAGCUCGCAGAGCUGUAGAAAUAUAGGUACAUAUUUUCUGGAGCAAAAGGAAGGAUAAAACACCUAAGUAAACACACACUGUAUGUGACAUAGUACAGAUGACAAUCUUAGCAUGUAUCACAUAAAAUAAUUUCUCAGUGCUAAAGCAUAUGCACUUCAGAAUUCACAGAAAGGGACAAAAAACAGCAUCACUCUUCACAAGACUAAUUUACAUCACUUCACCAUUCAGAUAACUUUUCCUUUUCAAAAUGUUGCUUUGAAGUCACAUGGGCUACUUACAUGACUGACAACUCUAGGACUGCAGUGAAAAAGAAGUUUCAGUGGAAUUAAAGAAAAAGUAACGGGAAGUGUGCAGGAGGUAUCUGUGCAAAGAAGGGCCCCAUGCAACUCCUCUCACAGCUUGCCUCUAAAAACUCAAGAACUGGGUUUAAAUGAGAGAAACACCUUGUCUUUCUGGCAAGUUUUAGCAAUGCCUUCUAUGCAGGAAAGCAAUUUGCUUCAAGACCAAACAGAAAUGCACACUGGUUAAGAGUGAUAUAUUACAAAAACAACAGAGUAUAGCUAAAUUCAGCAAAUUAUGAAGCAAUGGCUAUUUCAGUGAGAGUCAGAGAUUCGUCUAAUGAGAUCCAGGAGUUUCAGCUCUGAACAAAAAGUGAUGAAUUCAAGCUUAAAUUCCUACAAGUAACCCCUAUUCUACAUUAAAGGUAACCAUCCAUCACAUUUUUAACUACAUCUACAAGGGAGUUCAGUAACUUCAGUCUAAAAAAUUCAAAACACAGACAUAUUUUCAGCCAAAACAAAGCCAGAGCCAGCAGUAAUUUUAAUUCUUUUCACUAAGUAUUGUUCUGGCCAUAAGACUAUGUGUAAAAUGGAUGUGGUUGAAGCCACAAUGGACUGUAAGGUUUAUAGGAUGAACAAGUUGCUAAGGAAGAGCUUGCAUGCCUAAAAACUUACAUUAUUCCAGCUGGAGUGCAUCCUGUAACAACAGUACUUCUUUAUUCUUCCAUAUCUUCCCUAAAAAGCUGAGCGCUCUGGCUGAAGACAGGCCAGGAGAGGCGCAUGGAUGUUUGCCUUCUUCAUGUUGCCUGAAAACCUAGUCCUUGUCUCAUCUGGGAACAGGACAGUCAUGCCAAGUGGAUGCAUCUCCCUGCAUCUGUGGAGAGACAGCAAAUGUGCUGUCUGGAAAGUAUCUGUGUUCUAGGAGGUGAGAAACUGGCUUGGGCUGUUUGAUUUCACUUCUACUCAGAGAAAUGGGGCAAUGAACUUUCUAAUAAACAGGUUUGGUUCACAGAGGGAUGACUCCACCAUCGAUCAUUCCACCAGAGGAAUAACUCAAGAUUCGAAAAUUUUAACCAGAUAAUUUUAUCAAAAGAAUAAUAAAAAAAAAAAAAAAAAAAAAAAAAAAAAAAAGGACCAAGUAAUGACUUAAAACAAUUGCUGUGAUAUUACAUCUACAUAGGAUCUACUGGCCUAUAUGUCAGUUUUAAUCUGCCACUGGUUAAAUCCUACAUACUGAGCAAAAUAACUUACCAACACAAUACAUGCAAAGUAAAUAAAUACUCAAGCAACACUCUAUGUCCCACAUCCACUCAGAUACCAGAAGUGUGUAUUUCCAGUCUGUGAAAUACAAUGAUAAGUAAAAACAGUGAUUCUCCAUGAGUGCAUUACUCAGAAGAAGCAAUGUUAAGGCAGUCAGUGUGAUCUUUAAAAAUCACUCCCAGUAAAUAAAUAAAUAAGCACCUCUACCUGCACAGCUAUCUGAAGACAAGUUAACAAAUUCUGUUUUCCACUUAUUAGCAAAUCAGUUGUUCUGUAAAGAAUACAUGAUCAAAACCUACAGCAACAGCUGGCACAUGUAUAAAGCGGGGCAAAAAAAUUAAGAUGAAGUAUUUCUGACAAAAAAAUAUAUGAAACAAAACAAAGUUGAAAACUGAAGCAGAUAUCAGAUAACCAUUUUGUCAUUUAUAAAAUACUUUUUCAGGACAAAAGGGGUUGCCAUACCUUUUCACUCAGCAUAUCCUCAGAGUCACAUAUUAAGCUGAUCAAAUCCGAGGGUACUGCAGUAAGCUGAAGCUUGAAGCUGCCUCCACUUCCUUCAUUUCGUUUACAGUUUUGUUUGGGGGUUGUUCUUUUUUUUCUUUUUAGCUUGCAGAAACCUGAGGGAAAAAAAUAUUUUGGGGGUUACUAUCGAAAUAGUUUAUUCAGUAGUCAAUUAACUGAAAAAAACAAAUAGUUCUAAACUGAUCUCUUAUAUACCAUGCCCCUUUUUAUAUCAUAGUUAUUGGUUCCAUUCUGUUGUUAUAUUUUACUGAAAACAUUAUGAAUAUAAAUGAGAAUAGUGCACAAAGAGCAGAGGUGAAGAUAUGUCCCAUUAGAAAUCUGCUUUUUUACUUACAUUUACUGAGGUUAUCAAGUACCUCUUUAUGAACUCUUCAUCCCUUUCUAAAAGGUAAAGUUGAAAUUGGGAAAUAUAUUGCAUCAGUUAUUGGGCAUUCUGGGGUUUUCCAUUAUUUUAAAAACCUCCUAUGUGCCUAAUUAUAGCUAAUAAGUACUGUUUAGAAACAUAGCAGAGAACUCAUGAUUUCCUUCUUCACCCAAUGCCCAGAAAAUCCAUGUCCGAGAACAAAAUCUUGAAGGUAUUUGUGAUCAUGACCCAUUCUCAUUAUCUGUAUCCAUUCUAAGAUUUUUAUAUUAUAUGAAUGAAUAUUUUAAAGUGAAAUUAUAGUAUUCAAUGGCAAAUUACAACUACAUGUGACCAAGAGAGGAUUAAACCCAUCAUUUUGCUUAAGAGCUCUGAUGGCUGGAGUAAUUGGAUGAUAGCUGUAGGGCAUCUUUUUGGUCUGUAAUUAGGUCAUUUCUUUCUCAUCCCUUCACUGUGUGUAUAAUUACGAAUUAAUUUGAAAUCCCACUGUGAGUAAAGAAAGUCAGUUUAAUAUAACGGAAGUGCAAAAGCCACAAUAUAUUACUUUUUAAAAACUGCUUAUUUCAAAAUACUCAGUCUGGCCAAAAGUUAUAUCCCUAUGUACUGCAAGGCUUAUAUUUGGUUUCUUUGCUAACUUUGUACAAGUGCUGCUCUGAAAGUAAUGCCUCCUGUUUUAUUAUGUUGGUGUGCAAUGUCAGAGGUGGAUUUUGGUGGUACAUCAGGAGAGGUUGAACCUUCACACCAGUAUUCCACUACAUUUUGUUGCUGUGUGACAGAUGGCAGCAGAGGGUCAGUCUGACAAAAUGGCUUCUGACACGGAAGCAUCUGAGAAGAAAAGAUGUGGAACUGAAUUCCUCCAUGUGGUAAAAAAAUUGCAUCCAUUGACUUUCACUGAUGCUUGCUGAACAUUUAUGGAGAUCAAACAGUGGAUGUGAGCUCAGUGAGGUUGUGGGUAAUGUGUUUCAACAGCAGUGAUAGUGGCAGUGGUUCACCUCCACCGGUGCAAAUUUUUACAAGAACAGCAAGCAGGUUCUCGUUCAUCGUUGGCAAAAAUGCAUAGCUAAUGACAGUGAAUAUGCAGCAAAAUAAAGUUUGUAUUUGAGAAUUUUCUCUAUGAAAUAGUGUUAUUGUGCUCUUUGUAUUUGUUGCAGUUUCUAUGGAAAUAAACAGCAAGUAUUACUUUUGAAUCAAUCUACGUUCCUGGAUGUAUUUUCUCUCUUAAAAUAAAUGAAUUUUCAAAGCA